AUGAAGCACCUGACCGAGCACGCCGCGUGACGACGAAGUACUUCGGUAUGUAAAGUUCUUUUAAGAGGGAAGAAUGGCCCGUGGAAAAGCGGGCGUGACGGUACCUUUUGAAUAAGCCCCGGCUAACUAUGUGCCAGCAGCCGCGGUAAUACAUAGGGGGCAAGCGUUAUCCGGAAUUAUUGGGCGUAAAGGGUGCGUAGGUGGCCAUUUAAGUCUUUGGUGUAAGUUCAGCGCUCAACGCUGUGAUGCUAAAGAAACUGGGAGGCUUGAGUGUGGUAGAGGCAAGUGGAAUUCCAUGUGUAGCGGUAAAAUGCGUAAAUAUAUGGAGGAACACCGGUGGCGAAGGCGGCUUGCUGGGCCACAACUGACACUGAGGCACGAAAGCGUGGGGAGCAAACAGGAUUAGAUACCCUGGUAGUCCACGCCGUAAACGAUGAGUACUAAGUGUAGGGGAAACUCUGUGCUGUAGUUAACGCAAUAAGUACUCCGCCUGAGUAGUACGUACGCAAGUAUGAAACUCAAAGGAAUUGACG
rnacentral:rRNA from 1 species